CCUACGGGUGGCAGCAGUGAGGAAUAUUGGUCAAUGGGAGAGAUCCUGAACCAGCCAAGCCGCGUGAGUGAAGACGGCCCUAUGGGUUGUAAACCUCUUUUGUCGGAGAACAAAACCCGGGACGUGUCCCGGACUGCGUGUAUCCGAAGAAAAAGCAUCGGCGAACUCCGUGCCAGCGGCCGCGGUAAUACGGGGGAUGCGAGCGUUAUCGGGAUGGAUUGGGUUUAGAGGGUGCGUAGGCGGUCCGUUAAGUCAGCGGUAAAAUUGCGGGGCUAAACCCUGUCGAGCCGGUGAAACUGGCAGACUUGAGUUGGCGAGAAGGUCGCGGAAUGCGCGGUGUAGCGGUGAAAUGCAUAGAUAUCGGGCAGAACUCCGAUUGCGAAGGCAGUGGACCGGCGCCAGACUGACGCUGAGGCACGAAAGCGUGGGGAUCGAACAGGAUUAGAUACCCCUGUAGUC
rnacentral:rRNA from 1 species